rnacentral:rRNA from 1 species
GGGUCAGCAGGCUGGUCGUGCCACCGGUACGUACUGGUCUCACUGAUUCCUCCUUCCUGAAGAACCGUAAUGCCAUUAAUUUGGUGUUGCGGGGAACCAGGACUGUUACUUUGAAAAAAUUAGAGUGUUUAAAGCAAGCUAACGCUUGAAUACAUUAGCAUGGAAUAAUGAAAUAGGACGAUCGAUCCUAUUUUGUUGGCUUCUAGGAUUGACGUA